UACGUAGGGGGCAAGCGUUGUCCGGAUUUACUGGGCGUAAAGCGCGCGUAGGCGGGUCUUUAAGUCAGGGGUGAAAUCCUGGAGCUCAACUCCAGAACUGCCUUUGAUACUGAGGAUCUUGAGUUCGGGAGAGGUGAGUGGAACUGCGAGUGUAGAGGUGAAAUUCGUAGAUAUUCGCAAGAACACCAGUGGCGAAGGCGGCUCACUGGCCCGGUACUGACGCUGAGGCGCGAAAGCGUGGGGAGCAAACAGG
rnacentral:rRNA from 1 species